UACGGAGGGUGCAAGCGUUAUCCGGAUUUACUGGGGUUAAAGGGUGCGUAGGCGGAUCUUUAAGUCAGUGGUGAAAUCUCUCGGCUCAACCGAGAAACUGCCAUUGAUACUAUUGAUCUUGAAUACAGUUGAGGUGGGCGGAAUGUGUCGUGUAGCGGUGAAAUGCUUAGAUAUGACACAGAACACCGAUUGCGAAGGCAGCUCGCUAAACUGUGAUUGACGCUGAGGCACGAAAGCGUGGGGAUCAAACAGG
rnacentral:rRNA from 1 species